CCUGAGUGAGGGCCCUGCCGGGUCCCGACCUCCACCCGUGUCUCUUGAACUACCCUGUUGCUUUCGGGGGCGACCCGGGAACCGGUUCGACGGGGCGACUGGCCCCCGAGGUCCGCGCCAGCAGCUGCAUCUGUGACCCUAAUGAGAAGGAUGUCUGAGUGAGAUAUAAUAUCA
rnacentral:misc_RNA from 1 species